AAGCGACUAAGCGUACACGGUGGAUGCCCUGGCAGUCAGAGGCGAUGAAGGGCGUGCUAAUCUGCGAUAAGCGCCGGUAAGGUGAUAUGAACCGUUAUAACCGGCGAUACCCGAAUGGGGAAACCCAGUGUGAUUCGUCACACUAUCAUUAACUGAAUCCAUAGGUUAAUGAGGCGAACCGGGGGAACUGAAACAUCUAAGUACCCCGAGGAAAAGAAAUCAACCGAGAUUCCCCCAGUAGCGGCGAGCGAACGGGGAGGAGCCCAGAGCCUGAAUCAGCAUGUGUGUUAGUGGAAGCGUCUGGAAAGGCGCGCGAUACAGGGUGACAGCCCCGUACACAAAAGCGCAUGUGCUGUGAGCUCGAUGAGUAGGGCGGGACACGUGGUAUCCUGUCUGAAUAUGGGGGGACCAUCCUCCAAGGCUAAAUACUCCUGACUGACCGAUAGUGAACCAGUACCGUGAGGGAAAGGCGAAAAGAACCCCGGCGAGGGGAGUGAAAAAGAACCUGAAACCGUGUACGUACAAGCAGUGGGAGC
rnacentral:rRNA from 1 species